rnacentral:rRNA from 1 species
AGUCGUAGCGAAAGCGAGUCUGAUAAGGGCGUGAGUCGCGUGUUCUAGACCCGAAGCGGUGUGAUCUAUCCAUGGCCAGGAUGAAGCGUCGGUAAGACGUCGUGGAGGUCCGAACCCACUUCAGUUGAAAAUGGAGGGGAUGAGCUGUGGAUAGGGGUGAAAGGCCAAUCAAACACCGUGAUAGCUGGUUCUCCCCGAAAGCUAUUUAGGUAGCGCCUCGUGAACUCAUCUUCGGGGGUAGAGCACUGUUUCGGCUAGGGGGCCAUCCCGGCUUACCAACCCGAUGCAAACUACGAAUACCGAAGAAUGUUAUCACGGGAGACACACGGCGGGGGCUAACGUCCGUCGUGAAGAGGGAAACAACCCAGACCGCCAGCUAAGGUCCCAAAGUCAUGGUUAAGUGGGAAACGAUGUGGGAAGGCCCAGACAGCCAGGAUGUUGGCUUAGAAGCAGCCAUCAUUUAAAGAAAGCGUAAUAGCUCACUGGUCGAGUCGGCCUGCGCGGAAGAUGUAACGGGGCUAAACCAUGCACCGAAGCUGCGGCAGCGACACUAUGUGUUGUUGGGUAGGGGAGCGUUCUGUAAGCCGUUGAAGGUGUGCUGUGAGGCAUGCUGGAGGUAUCAGAAGUGCGAAUGCUGACAUAAGUAACGAUAAAGCGGGUGAAAAGCCCGCUCGCCGGAAGACCAAGGGUUCCUGUCCAACGUUAAUCGGGGCAGGGUGAGUCGACCCCUAAGGCGAGGCCGAAAGGCGUAGUCGAUGGGAAACAGGUUAAUAUUCCUGUACUUGGUGUUACUGCGAAGGGGGGACGGAGAAGGCUAUGUCAGCCGGGCGACGGUUGUCCCGGUUUAAGCAUGUAGGCGGAGGUUCCAGGUAAAUCCGGUACCUUGUUAACGCUGAGGUGUGAUGACGAGGCACUACGGUGCUGAAGUGAUAAAUGCCCUGCUUCCAGGAAAAGCCUCUAAGCAUCAGGUAACAUCAAAUCGUACCCCAAACCGACACAGGUGGUCAGGUAGAGAAUACCAAGGCGCUUGAGAGAACUCGGGUGAAGGAACUAGGCAAAAUGGUGCCGUAACUUCGGGAGAAGGCACGCUGAUGUGUAGGUGAAGCCCCUGCGGGUGGAGCUGAAAUCAGUCGAAGAUACCAGCUGGCUGCAACUGUUUAUUAAAAACACAGCACUGUGCAAACACGAAAGUGGACGUAUACGGUGUGACGCCUGCCCGGUGCCGGAAGGUUAAUUGAUGGGGUUAGCGGCAACGCGAAGCUCUUGAUCGAAGCCCCGGUAAACGGCGGCCGUAACUAUAACGGUCCUAAGGUAGCGAAAUUCCUUGUCGGGU